rnacentral:rRNA from 1 species
CGCAGCCGCGGUAAUUCCAGCUCCAAUAGCGUAUAUUAAAGUUGUUGCAGUUAAAAAGCUCGUAGUUGAAUUUCGGGGUUAGUAGGUUGGUCGUGCCUUUGGUAUGUACUGGUCUCACUGAUUCCCUCCUUCUUGAAGAACUGUAAUGUCAUUAAUUUGGUGUUGCAGGGAAACAGGACUGUUACUUUGAAAAAUUAGAGUGUUUAAAGCAGGCUAACGCCUGAAUACAUUAGCAUGGAAUAAUGAAAUAGGACGUUUGAUCCUAUUUUGUUGGUUUCUAGGAUUGACGUAAUGAUUAAUA